rnacentral:lncRNA from 1 species
GGAGGGCGGCGGCAGAUAUCGCCGGAGGUAGGGCGCAACGGUGGGGGUUUGGAUUCGGGAGAUUCGGUUGUGGUUUGGUUUGAUUUGGUAGGUUUUCUGUCUUGCAAGUCGUUGCAGCUGCGUGCUGCUUCGUCGGGAAGAUGAGGGGAAGAAGCUUCGGAUCGUGGGGUGAUUUUACAAGGAAGUGCCUGGUGUUAUUGCGCGGUUGUUUCCCAGUCCUUCCGCUGUUUCACCCUCGAGUCUCGACCGUCCGAUCACACGAUGAACUGUUCGUGCAAAGACACCGUUGCUCCGUUCGGAUGCAGGAACGGAGAACUGGAUGCUAGAAUUGUACGGCAACUAGAUGAUGCACCAACAGCUGUCAAAAACAGACGAUCCGCCAAUAACGUAUAAACUAGACGAGACCCCGCGCGUUGCAGCGGGAACCUAUGUUGUAUUGAAGAGCAAUAUUUGGACUACUAUUAUAUGUUUUGCUGGGAUUUUAAUAAAUUAAAUCAGGAAAUAUAUGGCAAGAUUUGUUUAUUGUUGUCGGUCUUAGUCCCUUCUCCACUCAAAAAAUUGUACAUGUGAUGUACCUUUCAUGAUGUACUUGAAGAUGGAACUGACAUUGUUGAAAGGAUGGACAUGAGAUAGUUGUGAGACGUUUUUUAAGUGGUCCACAUUGGUUGUUGUGUUGUAUUCUUCAUCUUUGUAAGAACAUCCACGUACCUAUUGUGCACUUCUUUUGCUGAAAGAGCCGAGGGGGAGGUAGAAUAUUGUUUGUUGCAUAACGUUGCACUGGCAUCCUGGACAAAAAUAGAUAUGUGUGUUAACAAUUAGGAAAGAUGAACUGAGUCGAACAAACAUACAUGUACACCAAGAUGCUCCUGAGUCGUGACAGAAAACAUUUGGUCCCUUACGAAAAUUCGGUAUUGAAGUCCUGCAAAGUCGCAUUGCAGGUAGGGGAGCAGUAGCCCCUUGGCCGGCUCCGUGUCGCUCCCAGCAGCGGGAGAUGUCUGCCUAGCUACAGGAGGGCAGCAGCGGAUAUAGUCGGAGGUAGGGCGCGACGGUGGGGAUUUGGAUUUGGGAGAUUUGGUUGCGGUUUGGUUUGAUUUGGUAGGUUUUCUGUCUUGCAAGUCGUUGCAGCUGCGUGCCGCUUCGUCGCGAAGGAAAUAAGGGGGGAGAAGCUUCGGAUUGUGGGGUGAUUUUACAAGGAAGUGGCUGGUGUUAUUGCGCGGUUGUUUUCCAGUCCUUCCGUUGUUUCACCCUCGAUUCUCGACCGUCCGAUCACACGAUGAACCAUUCGUGCAAAGACAUUGUUGCUCCGUUCAGGUGCAGGAACGGAGAAAUGGAUCGUAGAAUUGUACAACGACUAGAUGAUGCACCAACAACCGUCAAAAACAGAUGAUGCACCAACAAUGUAUAAAUAAAUGUUUUAAAUUAACUACAAUUAAUGGAAAAAGAUAUAAAAAUGUUCUGAUUUUACAUUUAGAAAACAACUAAACCUAAGAAGCAUGCGACAAAAUGUGUAUAAAAGGAGAAAAACUUUAAAAAAAAGAAAACAUGAUUGAAUUGAUGAGGUGCG